rnacentral:rRNA from 1 species
UACGUAGGUGGCAAGCGUUGUCCGGAUUUACUGGGCGUAAAGAGCGCGCAGGCGGCUGGUCAAGUCCGAUGUGAAAUCUCCCGGCUCAACUGGGAAACUGCAUCGGAAACUGAUCGGCUUGAAGGUGGGAGAGGGUAGUGGAAUUCCAGGUGUAGCGGUGAAAUGCGUAGAGAUGUGGAGGAACACCGAUGGCGAAGGCAGCCUCCUGGGCCAAUACUGACGCUCAUGCACGAAAGCGUGGGGAGCAAACAGG